GAUGAAGAACUUAGUGAAAUGCGAUAAGUAAUGUGAAUUGCAGAAUUCAGUGAAUCAUCGAAUCUUUGAACGCACAUUGCGCCCGCCAGUAUUCUGGCGGGCAUGCCUGUUCGAGCGUCAUUACAACCCUCAGGCCCCCGGGCCUGGCGUUGGGGAUCGGCGGAAGCCCCCUGCGGGCACAACGCCGUCCCCCAAAUACAGUGGCGGUCCCGCCGCAGCUUCCAUUGCGUAGUAGCUAACACCUCGCAACUGGAGAGCGGCGCGGCCACGCCGUAAAACACCCAACUUCUGAAUGUUGACCUCGAAUCAGGUAGGAAUACCCGCUGAACUUAAGCAUAUCAAUAAGCGGAGGA
rnacentral:misc_RNA from 1 species